CCUUACCAUGCCUCCUCUUUGCAUUGUCCGUUUCAUCUCUCACCACUGUUGCAUCAUCUCCUCCCUCUCUAGCCACCACCAUGUUAUCCACUCUUUCUCUCACCAUAGUCACAUCAUCUUCUCCUCCUCUUGCUGCCAUUAUGAUUUUAAAAGCUCGAGGGCUAGCUCGACAUUCGAAGCUGCUAAACUUGAGCCUAAGAAGUA
rnacentral:lncRNA from 1 species